rnacentral:rRNA from 1 species
GAUGAACGCUAGCUACAGGCUUAACACAUGCAAGUCGAGGGGUAACAAGAGAAAAGCUUGCUUUUCUUGUUGACGACCGGCGCACGGGUGAGUAACGCGUAUCCAACCUGCCUAUAACUAGGGAAUAACCUUCCGAAAGUAAGACUAAUACCCUAUGAUUUCCUUUGAUGACAUCAGAUUAGGAAUAAAGAUUUAUCGGUUAUAGGUGGGGAUGCGUCUGAUUAGCUUGUUGGCGGGGUAACGGCACACCAAGGCAACGAUCAGUAGGGGUUCUGAUAGGAAGGUCCCCCACAUUGGAACUGAGACACGGUCCAAACUCCUACGGGAGGCAGCAGUGAGGAAUAUUGGUCAAUGGGCGGAAGCCUGAACCAGCCAAGUAGCGUGCAGGAUGACGGCCCUAUGGGUUGUAAACUGCUUUUAUACAGGAAUAAAGCUAGCCACGUGUGGUUAUUUGUAGGUACUGUAUGAAUAAGGACCGGCUAAUUCCGUGCCAGCAGCCGCCGUAA